AACCGGUUUACCAUAGUCUUUACCUGAGCACUAAAGAAGCAGCAUUCUUUACAGGUGUAUCCAGAUUGAAAUACAACAACAUGCCAAACUACAAAUUAUUGUUCGUGAUAUUAUGCAUUGCACUGAUUGUGCCUAGUCAAAGUAAUGCCCAACAUCGAUUCGGAAAAAAGGUUGUUGACAAACGCAGUGUGUUGCAGGAAUGGUCUAAUAUUGUGAAAGAAAGUGAAAACAUUAAUAAAAAUGAUAACUGGGGAGAAGUGGACUCUUCAGGCUAGAAGCCGUUGCUGUCGACAUUUCAGUAACAACAUAAAAUCAUCAUGUUAUUUUGACAUUGAGCUGGUGAUGCCUCUGCUGUGACAUGGGACACAUCAAUUAAUAAGCAAAACAUGACCUUUGAAUUAUAAAUGGUUACAAUAAUAAUAAAUAAAUAAUAUAAUAAACUUA